AUGGCCUGGACCCCGCUCCUCCUGGGCCUCCUGGCUCACUGCACAGUUUCUGUAUCUUCCUAUGAGGUGAAUCAGCCGCCCUCAUUAUCUGUGAGCCUGAGAGGAGAGGCCAAGAUGACCUGUGCGGGAGACAAAAUUGGAAGCAAAUAUGUUUCCUGGUACCAGCAGAAGCCAGGCCAGGCCCCUGUGUUCGUCAUGGUUGAUAGUACCCGGCCCUCAGGGAUCCCUGACCGCUUCUCUGGCUCCAACUCUGGCAACCUGGCCACCCUGACCAUCACUGGAGUCCAAGCUGAGGAUGAGGCCGACUAUUACUGUGCAACAUAUGAUGGCAGUGGGAGCAGCUGGCAGCGAGCACAGUGGCAGAGACUCUGGGGAAGUGGGACUCCAGUGAGCUGCCUCACCAAACACCUGGUACACUGCACAGGCUCUUUGGCCUUCUUUAAGCUUAGCCAGUCAUUUUUCACAUCAACUGGUCCUGAGACAACCCAGAGAUGA